AAAAUUACACGAUAAAAUAAGAUGCAGUAACCAAAAUCUUCAGCAUCCCAUAACAACAUUCCUCUUCUUCCAUUAACUUUGCCAUACACCACGUUCAACAUAUAAAUCCAUACACACACAAAAAAAAAAGUCAUCACCAUGACAACAACUUGGAGUAAAACCAUAACCAUAAAAAACAAUCAUGCAGCCACACAACAACGUCAUAAACUCU
rnacentral:lncRNA from 1 species